GCUGUAUGGCACAUACUUGUAAUCCCAGCUUCUGGGGAGGCUGAGUCAGGAGAAUCGCUUAAGCCAGGAAUCCUGAGCUGUAGUGUGUUAUGUUGAUUGGGUGUCCACACUGAGUUCAGCUUGAGUAGCAGGAAACUCUCAGGUUGCCUAAAGAGGGGUGAAACGGCCCAGGUUGGAAACAGAGCAGAUCUAAACUCCUAUGCUGACCAAUAGUGGGAUUUCACCUGUGUAGCCAUUGCACUCCAGCCUCGGCAACUAGCAAGACCCUGUGUAU
rnacentral:SRP_RNA from 1 species